rnacentral:rRNA from 1 species
GUGGAAAAGGAUGUGGAGUUGCGCAGACAGCCAGGAGGUUGGCUUGGAAGCAGCCAUCCUUGAAAGAGUGCGUAAUAGCUCACUGGUCAAGUGAUUCCGCGCCGACAAUGUAGCGGGGCUGAAGUUAUCCGCCGAAGCUGUGGCAAACCCGUUUUGCGGGUUUGGGUAGGGGAGCGUCCUGUGUGAGGUGAAGCUGCCGGGUGACCGUGUGGUGGAUUGUGCGGGAGUGAGAAUGCAGGCAUGAGUAGCGAAUGACGGGUGGAAAACCCGUCCGCCGAUUAUCCAAGGGUUCCAGGGUCAAGUUAAUCUGCCCUGGGUGAGUCGGGACCUAAGGCGAGGCCGACAGGCGUAGUCGAUGGACAACCAGUUGAUAUUCUGGUACCGGCUUGUCACCGUCCGUGUCGAGGUGUGUGAUGCUAAGCGUGCGAGCCUGCCAUUGUGAUGUCUUUGAUGUUGUGGUGGUGUGGUGAGUGUGUGAACCGAUCAUGUAGUAGGCAAGCUGCGGAGGGACGCAGGGAGGUAGCUCAUCCCCGGCGAUGGUUGUCCGGGGCUAAAUGUGUGGACCGUCUGGUAGGUAAAUCCGCCAGGGUUGUGGUUGAGGCAUGAUGGCGAGCCCACGGAAAGUGGGUGAGUGAGUGAUCCUGUACUGUCGAGAAAAUCUUCGUGAGCGAGGUGGCUGGUCCGCCCGUACCCUAAACCGACACUGGUGGAUAGGUAGAGUAUACCGAGGCGAUCGAGAGAAUCAUGGUGAAGGAACUCGGCAAAAUGCCCCCGUAACUUUGGAAGAAGGGGGACCUGAGCUGUUGCCGCCACGUGCUGGUGGUUGCGGUGAGGGGCGCAGAGAAUUGGGGGAAGCGACUGUUUACCAAAAACACAGGUCCGUGCGAAGUCGUAAGACGAUGUAUACGGACUGACUCCUGCCCGGUGCUGGAAGGUUAAGGGGAACUGUUAGCUUUGGCGACGCGGUGAACUUAAGCCCCAGUAAACGGCGGUGGUAACUAUAACCAUCCUAAGGUAGCGAAAUUCCUUGUCGGGUAAGUUCCGACCUGCACGAAUGGAGUAACGACUUCCCUACUGUCUCCACCAUGAACUCGGUGAAAUUGCAUUACGAGUAAAGAUGCUCGUUACGCGCAGCAGGACGGAAAGACCCCGGGACCUUCACUAUAGUUUGGUAUUGGUGAUCGGUUCGACUUGUGUAGGAUAGGUGGGAGACUGUGAAGCUGUCACGCUAGUGGUGGUGGAGUCGUUGGUGAAAUACCACUCUGGUCGUUCUGGUUAUCUAACGUUGGGCCAUGAUCUGGUUCACGGACAGUGCCUGAUGGGUAGUUUGACUGGGGCGGUCGCCUCCUAAAAGGUAACGGAGGCGCCCAAAGGUUCCCUCAUCCUGGUUGGUAAUCAGGUGUCGAGUGUAAGUGCACAAGGGAGCUUGACUGUGAGACAGACAUGUCGAGCAGGGACGAAAGUCGGGACUAGUGAUCUGACGGUGGCUUGUGGAAGUGCCGUCACUCAACGGAUAAAAGGUACCCCGGGGAUAACAGGCUGAUCUUGCCCGAGCGCUCAUAGCGACGGCAUGGUUUGGCACCUCGAUGUCGGCUCGUCGCAUCCUGGGGCUGGAGUCGGUCCCAAGGGUUGGGCUGUUCGCCCAUUAAAGCGGCACGCGAGCUGGGUUCAGAACGUCGUGAGACAGUUCGGUCCCUAUCCGCUGCGCGCGUAGGAAUCUUGAGAAGAGCUGUCCUUAGUACGAGAGGACCGGGACGGACUGACCUCUGGUGUGCCAGUUGUACUGCCAAGUGCAUGGCUGGUUGGCUACGUCGGGUUGUGAUAACCGCUGAAAGCAUCUAAGCGGGAAGCACGCUUCGAGAUGAGGGUUCCCGCAGAUGAAUCUGGUAAGACUUCCGGUAGACGACCGGGUUGAUAGGCUGGAUGUGGAAGCACUGCAAGGUGUGGAGCUGACCAGUACUAAUAAGUCGAGGGCUUGUUACA